GAAAUAUUUUUAAUUAAGCUUCUAACUUAAUAUCAAGCACACGUGUUUAUAUUUCU
rnacentral:tRNA from 1 species